UACGUAGGUGGCAAGCGUUGUCCGGAAUUACUGGGCGUAAAGGGCGCGCAGGCGGCCCUUGAAGUCAGGCGUGAAAGCCCCGGGCUCAACCUGGGAGGUGCGCUUGAUACUCGAGGGCUUGAGUGCGGGAGAGGAGAGUGGAAUUCCCAGUGUAGAGGUGAAAUUCGUAGAUAUUGGGAAGAACACCGGUGGCGAAGGCGGCUCUCUGGACCGUAACUGACGCUGAGGCGCGAAAGCGUGGGGAGCAAACAGG
rnacentral:rRNA from 1 species